UACGUAGGGUCCGAGCGUUGUCCGGAAUUAUUGGGCGUAAAGGGCUCGUAGGCGGUUCGUCACGUCGGGAGUGAAAACUCGGAGCUUAACUCCGAGCCUGCUUCCGAUACGGGCAGACUAGAGGUAGGCAGGGGAGAGCGGAACUCCUGGUGUAGCGGUGGAAUGCGCAGAUAUCAGGAAGAACACCGGUGGCGAAGGCGGGUCUCUGGGCCGAUACUGACGCUGAGGAGCGAAAGCGUGGGGAGCGAACAGG
rnacentral:rRNA from 1 species